CCUACGGGGGGCAGCAGUGGGGGAUAUUGCACAAUGGGGGAAACCCUGAUGCAGCAACGCCGCGUGAGUGAAGAAGGUCUUCGGAUUGUAAAGCUCUGUUCUUGGUGAAGAUAAUGACGGUAGCCAAGGAGAAAGCUCCGGCUAACUACGUGCCAGCAGCCGCGGUAAUACGUAGGGGGCGAGCGUUAUCCGGAAUUACUGGGUGUAAAGGGAGCGUAGACGGCGAGGUAAGCCUGAAGUGGAAGCCCGCGGCCCAACCGCGGAACUGCUUUGGGAACUGUUUUGCUGGAGUAUGGGAGGGGUAA
rnacentral:rRNA from 1 species